rnacentral:tRNA from 1 species
CACUGAGAAGCUAAACAGGUACUAGCGUUAGCCUUUUAAGCUAAAAACUGGCGAUUCCGACCGCCCUUGGUGA